UUUUGGUUAUUGCAUAUUUUAAUUCUAGAAUUUUUUCUUUUUCUAUAAUUUAUACUCUGACAAAAUUUUUGAUGGUUUUAACAUUUUAUUUUAUAUAUUAGUUUUAGUUGUUUUAAGGUCUCUAAUCUUAUUUCCUAUUCUCGAACAACAACAUACAAAUAAAAUCCUGUUUAUCAGGAUACUAUCCUUGUUUAUAACUCGCAUCUUGCUGGAUGAUUUAACAAAUUUGAUUUACACAGUGUUUUGUGAUCCCAGAAUAUCCUAGAAAUGAAGAAUUGUGCUUAGCUCACCUCAGCAGGCUGCAUUAGUUAUCUUUAAGUCAAUAUAUUGAUUUGGGAAUUGCUUGUUUAUAAGAUGUCAGAGACGACCGAUUUAUGUCGAUAUUUUUGUAUCAUAUGUUCUAGCCAAUCACAAUAGGCCUGAGAUAUGCCAUUAUAAACUUUUUUUUUCAGCGACUGAAAACUACAGAUGUUCUCAGAUAUCAAACUUGGAUUUUCAGAAAUUAUCAAUAGGCUUCUUUGUUUUACAAGUGGGACAGUGCUUCCCUGGUGGAAGGAUGAAGUGAGUCAUAGGGUAAUGGUAACUUCUGAGACAAACACCUUGAUGCCCCCUCAGGUCUCCACAAUUAGCCACAUUUGCUAAUCUUUCCCAAUAAGUCUCAGUAGACAGAAAAGAAUGCAAAGUUUUAAUUUGCUAAUCACCCAGUUGGAGAGGGGCCGUGGGGGGAGAUGCUAAUCAUCUGCAGACAUCUGUAAUGACCACUUAAAUGAAAUUGUUCUACAUAAUUUCAUGAUAUAUGAAAGAGAUUAAAAUAAUUAAAUUGCUUUAAUAUAUCCCAUUAGUGUUUGAGAUAUCUUGAUUCACAUUUUCUUUUAAGCCAUAGAAAGUGCAGUUUCUGUCCUAGUAAAGCAGCAUUUCAUGAAGUUGGGGGUGGAGAGGGGUGACUCCAGAUGCUGAGAGAGAGGGUGUUGGGGCAGCGAGACCAGAGCUGAGGUGGAAUAGAGUCAGUAAAGGACAGUGACAAUAUCUAAAUUUUUAUAUGAAUCUGUGAGUUUGAAUUAGGAGAAAUCUUACAUGCAAACUUUCAUUUUACAUUUAACUGUUGCUCAAAACCUAGAGAGUCCAUUUUAAGACCAAAAAAAGCCUGUUUUACUUCUUAAUUUCUAUGCUUUGAGAACUCAAAAUUCAAGGAAAACAUACAAGAACUAGUCCUCAAAAUUUUUCUGAGAUUAAUUGACAAUUUCAGUGUUAUUGCCUAGUGACUGCACAUCUGAGCAAUGCUUAGAGUUGGAACAAUAUGUGUUCUUCAUUUGAAAGGGGUUCUACGGUGGUAACUUGUCUCCUUUUUUAUAUAGAUAUAUUACAAUUGAGUGGCUUCUUGCUGCUACUGUAAUUUAGAUUUAUAAUCAAACCACUGCACCCAUAUUAGAGUGCAAUUAAUUACAUGGUAUCAAAAGGAGAGUGAAC
rnacentral:lncRNA from 10 species